rnacentral:rRNA from 1 species
CCUACGGGAGGCAGCAGUGGGGAAUAUUGGACAAUGGGGGAAAGCCUGAUGCAGCGACGCCGCGUGAGGGAAGAAGUCAUUCGUGAUGUAAAGCUCUAUCAGCAGGGAAGAAAAUGACGGUACUUGAGUAAGAAGCCGCGGCUAACUACGUGCCAGCAGCCGCGGCAAUACGUAGGGGGCAAGCGUUAUCCGGAUUUACUGGGUGUAAAGGGAGCGUAGACGGCAGUGCAAGUCUGAAGUGAAAGGCGGGGGCUCAACCCCCGGACUGCACUGGAAACUGUACGGCUUGAGUGCAGGAGAGGUAGGCGGAAUUCCUAGUGUAGCGGUGAAAUGCGUAGAUAUUAGGAGGAACACCAGUGGCGAAGGCGGCUUACUGGACUGUAACUGACGUUGAGGCUCGAAAGCGUGGGGAGCAAACAGGAUUAGAUACCCUUGUAGUC